CUCAAUUCAUUUUGCCAUCUACCAUUUUCAUCUUCUGGUACUUCCCUGCUUCUCUUCCUUUAUUUCAUCAUCAGAGAAAUAAUGAAGAACACCAACCAAACUAGUUCACUUUAUGAGAGCUAGAUAUAUUGCUUGUAGUGGGCUUGGUUUCUUUUGAUGAUGAGCUAGUACUUAGUAUAUCAGUCUAGGCUACUACCUCAUCAUCCAAAGAAAAAAACAAGUACCACAUAAAUCCGGUUGACCUCCUAGAAUUAUAUUGGCAGGCCAGAUUACAAGCUGGGUGAUCUGCAUUUCUGGAAGGCAAUUCUAUAUAUAUUUAAAGGAGGGAGUCUGAGGUUCACUGUAAAUACUUCGGUAUAGUAACAGUUGCGGCUUGAUCCGAGACCAUGAUAUAAAAGAUGGCUUUGUUAUCAGCAACUCAGCAAGGAAAAAUCCAUCUAUUGACCUGGGGCUGGAGUUUAAGAAGAUUGCCAAUUUCUUGAGUCGAUUCAAGUCAAUCCUCAGCUUCAUUGAGCUUGAUAGCCUUAAGGUGUCUGCUGAUGUGUGGUACAUUGCUGGCGUUGUUCUCAUGGUAUGCAUGUCACUGGAGGUGCACAACUGGGUUCUGAACCGUCUUGGCAUAUAUCAGUCGAGUCAUUUCUGGGUAUUUAUUGGUGUUUCAAAGCAUUCAAACCUUUGCCCAAAUUUGCUUAUCCUGUCUUUGAAAAUAGACCAGAUUGAGGUGGCAGCAAGUUGCUCACUAUCUGAUAUUUCAGUGUCAAGAGAAGUAACAUGUCUACAAUUUCACAGGGUACCAUCAGAGAUAGAGAGUACUGAGUACAGUCAGUUAUUGGCUGAUGAUCAUUCAAGCCUGCAAGUCCUUAAACCCUAGGCCCUAUACCGGAUUGAUAUUGUAACAGGUUUGGGACAACGGAGUAGGGUUACAGGAAAUUCUAUGGUGAGGCAUGCGGUGCAGGAAUUGCUGCACAUGUUUAGCUUCCCGUGGGGAGUCUCUUAAUAGAUAGUUGUUCCAAAUCUUAUGUGCAGCGGAUGCAUUUGUUAUAGGCAGUAAUGCUUCCUUUCUGUCAUCAACGCCGUUGGAAGAGGAGGAUUAGCAGGCUUAGUCGAUUAAUUCUUCUAUUGUGAGUAUGACUAUGGAUUUAAGUUGUUCUUUUGUGCAGCUUUAAGUUGAGUAAUAAAUUUCAG